CAGCCGCCACGGUAAUACAGAGGGUGCGAGCGUUAAUCGGAUUUACUGGGCGUAAAGCGUGCGUAGGCGGCUAAUUGAGUCGGAUGUGAAAUCCCUGAGCUUAACUUAGGAAUUGCAUUCGAUACUGGGAAGCUAGAGUAUGGGAGAGGAUGGUAGAAUUCCAGGUGUAGCGGUGAAAUGCGUAGAGAUCUGGAGGAAUACCGAUGGCGAAGGCAGCCAUCUGGCCUAAUACUGACGCUGAGGUACGAAAGCAUGGGGAGCAAACAGGAUUAGAUACCCCGGUAGUCCCUGUCUCUUAUAC
rnacentral:rRNA from 1 species